CCCAGUGCUUUACAUCGGAGCCCAGGCACACAACAGCUCACGGGCUGCGUGCCUGCUGCCAGCCAGCAGGACAGUUUGCUUUCAGAGAGGAGGCAAAAAGUGGCACUGGGACCGCGAGUGAGUUGUUUGUGUUCCCACUGCUCCGCACACCAGCCUCGGUCUGCUGCAAUGUGGGUGUCUCUCCUGGGCAGCACUAUUCGAGCAACUGGAAAACAGACUCCCUGGGGCCCCGUGGCCAAAUGUGCCUGCACCUGGCAGGAGAGGCACACUGCCUCACUUCGCAGGAGCUGAGUUGAAAGAUGAAUCCUCUGCAACCUGGUACCAUGUACAAUACAAGAUGAAGGACUGACCUGUGAAUCUCACUUCAUGUCACCAAGUAUUUAAGAAACCGAACCACAGAGUGAGUAGAUCCAAGGAAAUCAGCAAUGGUAGACCCCAUAAAGACUCUAGAGCAGAGCCUUCAGCAGGAGCCUGCAAAAAUACCCAUUGCCGUAUGAACCUCAAACAAAGUCUCUACAGCUCAACUUGGAUGGUGUUAGACUUCAGGGCCUGUAAAACCACCAAAUGAACAUUUUUGUAGAUGCUGCUGCAUAUUCAGGUAUUAAGGAAAAGCUCCUUAAAUUUAUCAAGGCACGUUGACCAUUGAGGCAGGAGGGAAAAAGAGUACCAAUAACUGCAGUCUGCCAAAACACUGAAGUAGCCUCCAGAGAAGGCAGGAAAAUUCAAGUGUCAGAGCAGGUUCCUACAUGCUUCAUGUCACUCAAGGCAGCAGCCUUCAACCCUGGCAAAGCACUGAUGAUUCUGCGGGGACUUCCUUUGCCAGGCACAAUUAGGAAGAAAUGUUGGAGGAUAUUAAAUAUAAAUAUACAUCUGUUUGGUGGGAAUGGGAAAUGAAGACAGGAAUCCUGCUUUUUGCUUAAUGCAGCAACUGCAGACAUCCAUCACAUUGUCUUAUACAAAGGACCCCAGACCAAGAAGUAAAUACUGACCAUAUACAGCCCAAACUGCCCCAAAGAUACAUUUUUCCUCCAGUCUUCUCAAAAUAAUUAAAUGCUUUAUUCUUGCUGAAAAAAGCCCAACCUCAUUCAUAAUGCUCCCAGCGUGAAACAACACCCCGCUACACUGGAGAUAGGAUGGGUCACCUGCAAAGGAAGGCAUUCUGAACGAUGGCAGCCGGCUUUACGCUGCAGUGUCAGCACCAGCUGAAUGCUCUCUGCUUGUAUUCAAAAUACAAACCAGCUUGUAUUAAAUAUAAUUAAUAUUCAUUGCUACAUAUUGAGAUUGAAUAAAGGUAGUCAGAUGCCACA